ACUUAUUUGGGUGAUAUACAACUGUCUAACCCAUACUAAUAUCUCUACUCACCUAUACUUGACAUUUCUUUUAUUAUUCUUUAUCAAGUUACCAAAUCACUGCAAUAUGAAAUAUGGUGUAGUUCAUAUCUAUAGACUGCCAGUUUGUUUGUCAUUAUCGGUUGCAUAAAAAAUAUUUUUAUAAAUUAAUUUAAGAUUUUUUAAAAUUUAUUCAAGUCUUUGUCAUAAGUAUGUAAUUUAAAAUCACUCAUCAACAAAUAUGAUGUCUGUCCGGAAAGUUCGUAUAAAAGUGUUCUGGAAUGCGAGAAAGAGGAGUGGGGAGGCCAGGUAAGCGCAGGACCCCUUCCUUAUGUCCCUAACAAUGCUUCAGUUCUGGUCUGACCGCCGUGCGGUGCGAACUGGCUUGUCACGCCAUCUGUGAAGUUACCUCUUAACGAAACCCCGUCGGCAUGGAGCCCGCUUCCGUUGAAGAGCAGCGCGUCGUAAUCAAGUUUCUCUCGAAACUCGGCAAGAAUGGCCGUGAAAUUUUUGCCGAUCUCAGAACAGUUUAUGGGGAUGAUGCUGUGAAGGAACCAACCGUCCACAAGUGGCUAAAAAGAUUCAGAGAGGGCCGAGAAAGAGUUCGAUGUUCGGGGGAUUGUCCAUCAAGAAUUCGUCCCUCCAGGCCAGACAGUUGAUGGAAAAUUCUACGUCGAUGUGCUCAGACGCCUCAAAGCUCGUGUGGCACGAGUUCGUCCAGAAUUGGCGCGAGAGGGGCGUUGGAUUCUUCACCACGACAAUGCCCCUGCCCACACCUCUCUUGUUGUCCGUGAGUUUUUGAGUAAAAAUUCCAUUACGGUGACCGAACACCCCCCCCUAUUCGCCGGAUUUGGCCCCGUGUGACUUCUUCUUGUUCCCAAAAACCAAAUUGGUACUUCGGGGGCGGCAUUUGGGGGACAUAAAUGAGAUAAAAAAAGCUACGACGGGGCAGCUGAGAAACCUACAACCAGAGGACUUUCAAGGAGCCUUCUCACAGUGGAAACGGCGUUGGCACAAGUGCAUUAUGUCACAGGGGGAGUACUUUGAAGGGGAUAAAAUUGAUUUACCUGAAUAAUUGUAAAAUAAAAUUUUUAAAAAACUUUUAUACGUACUUUCCGGACAAACCUCGUACAUUUUAUUC